CUCUCCAUCGAGCACCCCUCGCUGUACCAAAUUUCGCGCCUUUUACUCGAAAUUUCCAGGAGGGUGCUCGGCUUAUCAAUGGAGAUGUAGCCACUUUUUCAGACGAUUCCUUCCCUUGGAACCAC
rnacentral:snRNA from 1 species